GCCUAUGGCCAUACUAUCCAGAAAGGGCCCAAGCUCAUCUGAUCCUGGAAGCUAAGCAGGGCUUGGGCCUGGUUAGGAUGGGAAAGCAUUCUGUAAGGA
rnacentral:rRNA from 1 species